GACGUAGGGUGCAAGCGUUGUCCGGAUUUAUUGGGCGUAAAGAGCUCGUAGGCGGCUUGUUGCGUCGACUGUGAAAACCCGCGGCUUAACUGCGGGCUUGCAGUUGAUACGGGCAGGCUAGAGUUCGGUAGGGGAGACUGGAAUUCCUGGUGUAGCGGUGAAAUGCGCAGAUAUCAGGAGGAACACCGGUGGCGAAGGCGGCAUCCUGGACCGGCAUUGACGCUGAGGCGCGAAAGCUAGGGGAGCAAACGGG
rnacentral:rRNA from 1 species